GAUCAGGUCCCGUGCGUGCGACACCUGUGAACCCCGUCAGGCCCGGAAGGGAGCAGCGGUAAGCGGGAUCGUCGUAGUGCCACGGAGCAGUCUGGUCGGU
rnacentral:SRP_RNA from 1 species